CUGUUCCACCCGCCGCGCCUCCGGAGAGACCUGCCGCAGCUUUCGGGCGCGCGCGGCCGGCGCUGCCACCCAGGCGACCGCGAGCGGAACGCGGUGCCUCUUCGGAAGGCCGAGGCCUGCGUGCUCAGCCUUCGGGGCAGCUGAGAACUUAGUGUGCCCGGCGACAUCCCACACCCGAAACGCAGCCCCGCGCCCCCGCCAGCCGGGAGCGCGUCCGGAAGGGGCUCGCCGGGACGCACCAGGAAAACUUAAUUAACGGCGUUUCUAUGAAUGGGCAUCACGGGGCCAGGGUUGCGUAAGCGCGGGCCUUCGCCCCAGGACUCCCGGGAGGCCCAGGCUUGACCGCUCGCUGCUCAGAUGGCGACCCAUGUGCAAGGUCCAGUGGAACCUCGCUGCACGGGGAGGACGAAACCGGACGUUUGCUCGCAAACAGAGCCGCAGGGCACACAGACCCUCGUCCAAGUGCGGCCUUCCGUCCCAAUCAGACGCGUCGGUCCCAGACACUCCCUCGCCUCCACCACGAGCGCUAGCCUCCGGGCCUCGUAUCUACACCACACGCACCCACUGCAAGUCGCCUAAAGUAACUCGGCGAGGGGAGGGCGACGCUUGUUGGCAUAAAUAAAAGACCAGCGAGUUCGGCCAUAUUUUUUAUUCAUUCGGUGUGUGGUUUAUAAGGAAAUAAACAUGCUUGAAUAUCUGGAAUGACCAGAAAUCGGACGCAUGUGCAAGAAAAUGGUGUAACAAAGACAAGUUUCAAAAGGUGAAACUGCCAUUUUCUUCGGUAACUUACAAAGUUACCGGUUUUCUACUGACAUCUGCCCUUGGAUGUUUUAAUACACGGAGCCCAGAGGGACUGGAAGCCUGUCCCGAGUUGGGAAUAUUAAAUCUGUCCAGUAUUCAA